GCUACGACCAUGUCUAAGUCAAAAACGGCUACGACCACCUCCCAAGUAAAAAAUGGUUACGGUCGUUUCUAAGGAACUAUGGGUUACGAUCACCCUCAUCACGUAAACAACCACGGUUAUUGUCGGAAUCUGCUCAUCGAGCUUGGUCCGAGCCCGACCUCAAUAAGCGGAGGGACUACCUGUUUGGAUCAAAACCUGACCUCAUGAUAAUGAAUGAGAUCGACACAUUUAUUAAAGUCUAUUUAUGGCUAAU
rnacentral:lncRNA from 1 species